GGGGGAGGGGGGGGGGGGUUGUGUGAGCGAGGCGAGGCGAGGCGAGCGUCAGUGAUGACGAAUGUUGCAACACUGUUGGAGGUUUGAGAAGGCGGGGCAAUUGUGUGAGGAAGGUUUUUCCUCAAGCUAUGGAGGGAAGCAGAGUUCCGAGGGAAUUGCACGAAGGAUCAUGUAGUGGGUACUCUGUUUGGCUUUGAGAGUGCACCUGAGAUUGGUAUAGUGAGACCUUGGUAGUCCGAGGGGAAAGGAAUCCUGAUGCGGGUGAUCAAGCUGGUGUUUCUUGCAGGUGGAUUUUCUCAUUCGGCUCAGUGUUACCGUCGUCCAAUGCGGCUCUCAAAACCUCGCGCGUGUGAACGUCUCAUCCAGCUUGAAAGUGCUUGUGUAGGUGCGUACUUGUCUAUUGAGGUAGUGUAGCAGGGGCGAUGUUGUCAUUAUUAAAUAGGAGUUCAAAAUAUAGCUUUUCAAGUGGAAGAAAUAGAGGUGCGGCCUUGGAGGAAUCGAGAGAAGAGACACCAGAUCGAAAAGUGGGUACGGCUGAGAAACCUAAAAACGGUGAUCAAGAGAUGAACUGGGAUGCGAACGACUUAGAAGCUAAAGGGGCUGUGAGGUUCAACAUGUCUACUUUUUUCAAGGAUCUUGUUUACCACAUCUUUUAUCCUCUCUCGAUUCCCCUGAUGAUGGGGUUGGAUGGGGGGAUGUAUGCGCUCAUCAACCGCAUGUUUGUACCUGAAAAGAUCUCAUAUUUUGCUAUGGCAAUUAGUCAAUUUGCCAUGGGGUGCUGUUUCUACGCUUUCAAUGGAGUGAGCUUGUUUGUCAUCAUCAGAGGAAAGAAAUUUGAUUUUCUGUACGACAUAGCACUCGUGGACGUAAUCUGGAUCAUGCGCAAUGCGGUGGUAGCGACGAAGUAUGCAUUUAUGUCAGAGGUGGAUAUGAAAAAAAUGAGAACAGAAGUGGUAGACUAUUCAUUUCAACUGCACCAAACUUUAUUGGGAGGUUGGGCAGAUCCUCUACCACGGAAAGUGCUGAAGCAGGAACUCUUGUUGGCUGCAGUCCGCUCUCGAAGCUUUUUGAAGAACCACUGUUUUCAGCUUGACACCAAUGUUGAUUGUUUUGAGGCAAUCAGGGACAUGGUAUUAGAUCUUCACCUGGGUAAAGACCAUGGAGCAAUUGAGAGGGAUGUGAACGUCCUGGAGGAAGCCAACAGAUGGUUGGAGCUGGGAUGGAAUGACUGUCUUGAGACGAUGGUGAAGGAAAAUGAGGUGGGAGAACUACGACCAGCUAUGUUACCUAUCCGCUUAUAUGCAGCCCAUGUGAUCCAUCAAUCUUCUUCUCUGAGCAGAUUGCGACGAGUAGGCCAUACUCUGUUAAGCCAAAAUCUGAGAAAGUCCGCAUUUUUUGUGUCCUUGAGCAUAACCACGCUUCCCUUUAUUCUUCGAGUGCUUCUAGGGGGACAUGCCUUGCCUGGUCCAACUUGGGCUACUUGGGUCGUUGCCAGCUCUGCUUUUGUAAUUUUGUACUUCUCGUUGUAUUCGAACAUUGCUUUUAUGAUGGUUGGCGUCCUGGAUCUGCGGAGACGCCACUAUGUUGCUAGCAAUCUGGAUGAACUUCUACGCACAGGAGUUUAUACUAGAAGUCUGCGUGUCAGGAGCACUACCUAUCCACGCUCAUUCAGAAGUCAGUCUCUUCAGUGGCUACGGAGUAUUAGUAGCCACUCCCGUUCUUCAUCCUCUCCGGGUAGUUCUGCAGGUACCUUAGGUAGCGAUCGCAGUAAUCUUGCAGGACGGGGAAUUGUGAUUGAUUUUCGGAAUGUCAAGUCUUUACAAGCUUGGUGGAUUACGCGAAUUCUGUUACACAACUUUGGUUUGGGCUUCUUCAAGCGAAUAAAAUACUACACUACUUACUUCGCAUGCUACUGUGGAGUUUUGAUCAUCCUUAUCGGUUUGAGACUGUUGAAGGGUAUUAUGAAAGAAGACAUCUACAUUCUACUGUCUGGUAUGCAGAGUAAGCGUGGUAGUAUGCUUGGAUGUUUUCCUUACUCUUUUAGCCCUCAUGGUGUGGCCUGGCGGUGAUAUAAAUACAGUGCGUCAAGUUCAGGGUGCUACACUGACUAUGAGCAAGCUAAAACUGCAAAAGAAGAUCAGCAAAGAUAAAGAUAGCAUAACUCCUGAGGAGCUACAACAUUACUACUCGGUGAUGGACACAAUUUCCUGCAUAUGUGAGGCUGUUAAAUGGGACAACAACAAACAUAAGAUCUCUGUGUGCGGGUUUCAAGCUGGUGAGCAGCUGCUGAGUUUGAUAGUGGCAAUGCUAACAGCUUCCGUGGCCAUCGGCGCGGGUCAAAUUGUAUCAAAUGUGGUUAGCAGUUCAUAAUUUUACAUAGGAGCACUGAUUAUCAUUGUCUGCACUGAGUCAUGAGUGGAGGACUUUUACAUGUUGAAGAAAGGGUGAUAUUUUACAUAUUAAA